rnacentral:rRNA from 1 species
AAUCUACCUAGUAGUGGGGGAUAGCCAAGGGAAACUUUGGGUAAUACCGCAUACGAUCUACGGAUGAAAGGGGGCCUCUCUUUGAAGCUCUCGCUACUAGAUGAGCCUGCGUAAGAUUAGCUUGUUGGUGAGGUAAUGGCUCACCAAGGCGACGAUCUUUAGCUGGUCUGAGAGGAUGAUCAGUCACACUGGAACUGAGACACGGUCCAGACUCCUACGGGAGGCAGCAGUCGGGAAUAUUGGACAAUGGGGGAAACCCUGAUCCAGCCAUGCCGCGUGUGUGAAGAAGGCCCUAGGGUUGUAAAGCACUUUUAGUAGUGAGGAAGGCUCAGUAGUUAAUACCUGCUGAGAUUGACGUUAGCUACAGAAAAAGCACCGGCUAAUUUCGUGCCAGCAGCCGCGGUAAUACGAAAGGUGCAAGCGU